AUGUCGAAGAAGGAUUGGUCGGUGCUGCCGGCUGGCGUCAAGUUCGAUCCCACAGAUCAGGAGCUGAUCGAGCACCUUGAGGCCAAAGUGAAUGCUGACAGCGCGAGAUCUCACCCUCUCAUCGAUUUGUUCAUACCAACCAUCGACAGCGAGCACGACAUAUGCUACACACAUCCUGAGAAACUUCCAAGUAUCACAUUGAGUGGCCUAAGCAAGCAUUUCUUCCAGCGCAAUUCCAGGGCGUUCAAAAGGGGGACGUGGACGCGUCGCAAGAUACAGUCAGAGUGUGGCAUGCACGCGAUGUGGCACAAGACCGGCAAUACCUUGCCGAUGAUGGUCAACGACCGGCAGACGGGUAGCAAAAAGGUUCUGGUGCUGCACAGCAACAAGAACUUCGACCAGUAG
rnacentral:rRNA from 1 species